CCUACGGGAGGCAGCAGUGAGGAAUAUUGGUCAAUGGACGAGAGUCUGAACCAGCCAAGUAGCGUGAAGGAUGACUGCCCUAUGGGUUGUAAACUUCUUUUAUAUGGGAAUAAAACGUUCCACGUGUGGGAUUUUGUAUGUACCAUAUGAAUAAGGAUCGGCUAACUCCGUGCCAGCAGCCGCGGUAAUACGGAGGAUCCGAGCGUUAUCCGGCUUUAUUGGGUUUAAAGGGAGCGUAGGUGGAUUGUUAAGUCAGUUGUGAAAGUUUGCGGCUCAACCGUAAGAUUGCGGUUGAAACUGGCAGUCUUGAGUACAGUAGAGGUGGGCGGAAUUCGUGGUGUAGCGGUGAAAUGCUUAGAUAUCACGAAGAACUCCGAUUGCGAAGGCAGUUCACUGGACUGCAACUGACACUGAGGCUCGAAAGUGUGGGUAUCAAACAGGAUUAGAUACCCGUGUAGUC
rnacentral:rRNA from 1 species